rnacentral:lncRNA from 1 species
UGCAAUUUGGGGUUCUGAAGUGAGAGAGGAAGAAUUGGGGAAAUAUUGCACGAAAACACAAAUUGGGAGAAUGGGAGAGGGAAAUUCCAAAUUCUCAUUUCAUUAAGUUGAUGCUUAUACUGACGGUCAUAAACCUUCUGUAAAUCCAAUGCACCAUUACCGACGGUCGAAAGCCUUCGGUAAUCAACCACAGAAGUGACCGUCGCUACAUCCUUCGGUAAAUCAACUUUAGCGAAGGCCUAAAAGGUCGUCGGUAUAUUUCCUUCAAAAAUUCUUCCUUUUCUUGUAUUAAGCAUCUCUACCAGGAUGUUAUCCCUAACUUCAAUAAGUAUACCCUUGGCACCGUAAUCCCUCCUUCAUAAAGUCUAAAUACAUCUUCAAAAUUGUCAAACUCAUUUGGGGACUGUUAAAUAAAGAUUCCAACUCCGAGUUAGUAAUAGAGUGUGUCAGAGGAGAACAACUCAACACCAAAUGGAACGAUUACCUUGAGAUAGUGGAGAAGCUAAGCCUCUUCGAGAAAGAAUCCUACCAUAUAUUUGCCAUGUCGAUGUGCUCCUCGCCGUAAGUGUCUAGAUUUAGAGCCCUACACAACAGUUUUCACAAUACCCCUCG